rnacentral:rRNA from 1 species
ACUCCUACGGGAGGCAGCAGUGGGGAAUAUUGCACAAUGGGCGCAAGCCUGAUGCAGCCAUGCCGCGUGUAUGAAGAAGGCCUUCGGGUUGUAAAGUACUUUCAGCAGUGAGGAAGGUGGAUAUGUUAAUAGCAUAUUCAUUUGACGUUAGCUGCAGAAGAAGCACCGGCUAACUCCGUGCCAGCAGCCGCGGUAAUACGGAGGGUGCGAGCGUUAAUCGGAAUUACUGGGCGUAAAGCGCAUGCAGGUGGUUUGUUAAGUCAGAUGUGAAAGCCCGGGGCUCAACCUCGGAAUUGCAUUUGAAACUGGCAAACUAGAGUACUGUAGAGGGGGGUAGAAUUUCAGGUGUAGCGGUGAAAUGCGUAGAGAUCUGAAAGGAAUACCGGUGGCGAAGGCGGCCCCCUGGACAGAUACUGACACUCAGAUGCGAAAGCGUGGGGAGCAAAACAGGAUUAGAUACCCUGGUAGCUCUGC